ensembl:lncRNA
CUGGGACUGGCUUUCCAAGGUUGCUUAAAUUGUAGCAAGUCAAGGGUUUCUCUUUCCAAAGCCAGUUACAGUGGGGGACAACUCAAAAGGAGCCUUUUCAUACUGCACAUGGGAGUCUCUCGGCGAGAACACUGGCGUGGUUUGCCAUUCCCUCCUCCACCGGACCACGUUCUGUCAGGUAGUUAGGGAACAUCACCCACUCAAUGGAUAGGAGUUUGAGAAAACUCCGGAGAUAGUUAAGCGACUUGGCAGCCUGAUGUGCUACGGGCCGCCGGGUCGCAGAGUCGUACACGACUUAGCGACUGUACAACAAGGAGCCUUUAGAGACAAGCUCGUCGGCGCUCUGGACUUUAACUUCCUCAUCUGUAAAAUGGAGCAGCCAUCGCCUGCAGGAGGAAUACAAGGCAAACUGCCAGAGCCCAAGAUUUGGGUGAGCAUUUUCUUAGAAGAUGACCCCCUGGGCGCACCUCUGCUUCUUCCUGAAUUCUACAAUUUUCAAUAAAGUAAACAGUCAUCAUAGAAGUUUACAAUCGUUGUUUCCAGAGCUGAAAACAGUUUAAAUGUGGACAUGUUGGUCUGCUGUGGAUGGUGUUAGAAGAAGCAUCUGAGUCAGAGUCCCAUUACUGCUUUGUCAAAACAGUAUCUUCUGGAUUUUUCACAUUCUUACACUAUUAAAUUCAAAAGAGAAAACCCUUGAAGUCUUCUUUUAUUCAUCUAACAAAUAUUUAUUGUUUGCCUGUUAUGUCCCAAGGACUGUCCUAUUUUCUAGAGAUACAACAAUGAACAGAUAAAAUUCAUGGAGGUUGUUGUUCAGUCGCCAAGUUGUGUCUCACUCUUUGCGACUCCGUGGCCUGCAGCGUGCCAAGCUCCUCUGUCCUCCACUAUCUCCUGGAGUUUGCUCAAAUUCAUGGACAGGGUUU